rnacentral:lncRNA from 1 species
UUCAGGUCCCAGGUAAGAGGAAACCAAGGAUUAAUAACAUAGAAGCUAUGAUCUACUAACAGUAAAGAAGACAGAAUUGUUCAUAAUUAGCUUUAAUGUGAUGCAGUAUGGUACAUCCUGCCCUGCCCUGCCCUGUGUUAGUCCUCAAAAUACAAAAGUUUUAUGACUUUUGUAUACUGACUGACUGUGCAAAUCUAUACAUUACUCAUUGUCAUUAAGUUGCAUGUCACACUUAGUAAAUCACCAGUUGGCAAUGUAAUAAAAUAACACUAGUAAUGAGAAAUUGUAACUGAAACAUAAAUGCUAAAUAUAGAUAAUGUGGUCAACUAAAAGCAAAUUUUGAAACCAUAUUAAAUAAUUAUGGUAUAACUUCAGGAUUAAGCUGGUGGAAUAUAUAAGGCUGGGUA